rnacentral:lncRNA from 1 species
GGUGUUCAUAGGCUGGACAGCUCCCCGUUGGGAAGCUGCCCCCAGGAUUUCUGGAUUUAGUGGAAGACUGACCUAGGUGACCUCAUAUGUCGACUCAGGUUCUCCAGCGAUGCAGGUCUUCCUUAAAGUGUCAGGUCCAGGAGAAGAAGGACACCAGUAGGCAGGCCCGGAUGAUUCUCUCUACCCAGCCCUCCUCAACUCCCUCCGGGCCCACCUUCUGAGUAGCAGCAGCUCCAGGGAGGCCCCUGCCUCUCUCUUCGGUCCCCUAGCCUGGGAAAGGGCUCGGGACCCUGCAAGGGGACCGGGAUGGCGAGGUCGCCCAUUGGCUGCGCGGCGCCAUGUGAACGUUGUUGGUUGGUUGGCGGGAGGGAGGAGGAGGCGGUUUCCCGGGUAACGGAGGGGAAGGAGCGGCGGCAGCGGCGGCGGCCCCGGCUGAGGAGCGCUGGCCGGAGCGCGGUGCGAGACCGGCUGGAGGCUGCGGCUCCGCGAAGCCGCGUGGGCGCAGGUAUGGGUCUGACUCCAUGAAGAAAGACGACAGCCCGGGAGGGGAGCAGCCUCUGUGAUGAACGCUCGCAGGAACUGUGAGGGGCGGCUUUGCGAGCAGCGUCGGCGGUGAUUUAUGGGAGUCGGGGGCUGCCGGAGAGGGAUGUGGAUGCUAUCAGCGCGGUGGAUUAAAUGCCCAUUUACAUCGUUACUGACAUAUAAAUUAUCGGUGCCAAGGAGACAGUGAGGGAGAGGAUUUCAGGGGCAGUAAUGUGGCACGUGCCCCAGGACAUGGACUCGUCUUUGCCCAGAUCUGUCCCCUGGGCUCUCAGGAAGCCGGUCUCGGAACUGAAGUAAAGCCCCAAUUCCCAGCUUGCACCAUGCCAGCAGCAGCCGCCCUCAUGGCUGAGGCAGUGAUGGCGAGUGAGGUCCCCGAGUGGGUUUUAAGAAGUCGGGAAGACCUUUGAAGAGGGUCGCGUGCGUUUCCUCGGCUGGAGAGGGCCGUGUCCGGCCGCGUGCAUGCGCCCCUUUUGCCUGGGAUAUUUUCCUCCUCCGUGGAUUUGGAAGCCUCGCUGAAGGAGAGAGGGAUUUUGUUCCUGGGAAAUGGAACCGGUUUCUGAGGCCAGCCAACAGCAGAAGAGAAAGCUGGUCACCCACGGACUGGAAGAUCAAAAGAGGGUGAGUGGGUAGAACUCCCGUCUCUUGGCUUGUGGUGCUGGAAUUGCUAAGCUCCACGCAGAGAACCCAGGUGGUGGUCAGAACCUUGUGUCCUCGUUAUGCUUGCUUGUCUUUCUCGGGUGAAGCAGGCGGGGUGGGGGCUCCUGACUUGCUAGGUCCUAGUGCUGGGCUUGAAGUGCGCGAGGGGACAGAGGAAGAAGGGGGAGAAAACCGCAUUUCGCCCGCAAGCCAGAAAGUCAAAGAUUUAUAAGCUGUUGCUCUAGGAGUUAACAAAAAGUGGUGUGCUCUCGAAGUCGAAUAUGAGCUUAUUUGCACGGAAGCCCCCUUUGGGAUUCACACACUCUUAGCACCUUUUGGAAAUGGC